ensembl:miRNA cja-mir-1327 cja-mir-1327
GGGGACUGCUCUUUAAAAGGCUGUUAAAUGGUGAUACUAUAUUUUUUAACAUCAGCAUCAUUUAGAAACCUUUUAGAGAACAGUUCUC